UUGCGUUCGUGAUAAAAGCGACAUACUUUCCUUAAUUACUUUAAGCAAGCGGAAGCUGUAGUGGAUAGCACGAUAAAAC
rnacentral:sRNA from 1 species